CGGCGUUAAAGAUGGACAUGCGUAACAUUAAGUUUGUUGGUGAGGUAACGGCUCGCAAGACUACGAUGUUUAGGGGGUCUGAGAGGGAUGGUCCCCCCACACUGGUACUGAGACACGGACCAGACUCCUACGGGAGGCACGAGUGAGGAAUAUUGGUCAAUGGGCGCAAGCCUGAACCAGCCAUGCCGCGUGAAGGAUGACAGCGCUAUGCGUUGUAAACUUCUUUUGUACAGGAAGAAACACUUCUACGUGUAGAAGCUUGACGGUACUGUACGAAUAAGCAUCGGCUAACUCCGUGCCAGCAGCCGCGGUAAUACGGAGGAUGCAAGCGUUAUCCGGAUUUAUUGGGUUUAAAGGGUACGUCAGGCGGAAAAUUAAGUCAGUAGUGAAAUCCUGCAGCUUAACUGUAGAACUGUUAUUGAUACUGGUUUUCUUGAAUAUAGUUGAGGUAAGCGGAAUGUGUAAUGUAGCGGUGAAAUGCUUAGAUAUUACACAGAACACCGAUUGCGAAGGCAGCUUACUAAUAUGUAUGACGCUGAGGUACGAAAGCGUGGGGAGCGAACAGGAUUAGAUACCCUGGUAGUCCACGCCGUAAACGAUGAUCACUCGUUGUUGGCG
rnacentral:rRNA from 1 species